rnacentral:rRNA from 1 species
AGUGAACGCUGGCGGUAGGCCUAACACAUGCAAGUCGAACGGCAGCGCAGUAAGAGCUUGCUCUUACGGGUGGCGAGUGGCGGACGGGUGAGGAAUACAUCGGAAUCUACUUUUUCGUGGGGGAUAACGUAGGGAAACUUACGCUAAUACCGCAUACGACCUACGGGUGAAAGCAGGGGAUCUUCGGACCUUGCGCGAUUGAAUGAGCCGAUGUCGGAUUAGCUAGUUGGCGGGGUAAAGGCCCACCAAGGCGACGAUCCGUAGCUGGUCUGAGAGGAUGAUCAGCCACACUGGAACUGAGACACGGUCUAGACUCCUACGGGAGGCAGCAGUGGGGAAUAUUGGACAAUGGGCGCAAGCCUGAUCCAGCCAUACCGCGUGGGUGAAGAAGGCCUUCGGGUUGUAAAGCCCUUUUGUUGGGAAAGAAAAGCAGCAGGUUAAUACCCCGCUGUUCUGACGGUACCCAAAGAAUAAGCACCGGCUAACUUCGUG